rnacentral:SRP_RNA from 1 species
GCCGGGCACAGUGGCGUGUGCCUGUAAUCCCAGCUACUCAGGAGGCUGAGGCAGAAGAAUCGCUUGAACCCAGGAGGCAGAGGUUGCAGUGAGCCGAGAUUGUGCCACUGCACUCCAGCCUGGGUGACAGAGCGAGACUCCGUCUCAA